UCUGCCUUUGCACUAUUUCUAUGUGUUUUCUUCUGGGCCUAUUCAACACUCAUCUGGGUACUGUUUACAAAUCUCCUAAAUUAUUGUGUGACAUCUGCAACAUUUCAUGGCUAUGGUCAGUUGGAAAACUCAACUAAUCACCACAAACUCGCUUUGAAGAAUAAUCCCAAAGUCUAAUUCAAUG